rnacentral:rRNA from 1 species
GCCUAACACAUGCAAGUCGAACGGGACUUAGUGGAAAGCGGCUUCGGCCAAUGGAAAUUAAGUUUAGUGGCGAACGGGUGAGUAACGCGUGAGGAACCUGCCUUUCAGUGGGGGACAACAGUUGGAAACGACUGCUAAUACCGCAUAACAUAUUCGGACCGCAUGAUCUGAAUAUCAAAGCUUUAUGUGCUGAAAGAUGGACUCGCGUCUGAUUAGCUAGUUGGUGGGGUAACGGCCUACCAAGGCGACGAUCAGUAGCCGGUCUGAGAGGAUGAACGGCCACAUUGGGACUGAGAUACGGCCCAGACUCCUACGGGAGGCAGCAGUGGGGAAUAUUGGGCAAUGGGGGAAACCCUGACCCAGCAACGCCGCGUGAAGGAAGAAGGCCUUCGGGUUGUAAACUUCUUUUACCAGGGACGAACACAAUGACGGUACCUGGAGAAAAAGCAACGGCUAACUACGUGCCAGCAGCCGCCGUAAUAC